rnacentral:tRNA from 1 species
GCAUCCGUAGCUCAGCUGGAUAGAGUACAUCGGCUACGAACCGAGCGGUCGGAGGUUCGAAUCCUCCCGGAUGCACCA